CGGGACGGGUGAGUAAUGUCUGGGAAACUGCCUGAUGGAGGGGGAUAACUACUGGAAACGGUAGCUAAUACCGCAUAACGUCGCAAGACCAAAGAGGGGGACCUUAGGGCCUCUUGCCAUCGGAUGUGCCCAGAUGGGAUUAGCUAGUAGGUGGGGUAACAGCUCACCUAGGCGACGAUCCCUAGCUGGUCUGAGAGGAUGACCAGCCACACUGGAACUGAGACACGGUCCAG
rnacentral:rRNA from 1 species